CUAAACACGUUGACGAGAUAAGUAAAAGUUACAGUUUCUAAAGAGAGCCGAUGGUUGGUGUAAAUCGGCGAAACCAGACUUCGAAAAUGGUCUCUGAGUAUUGUUGUCGUGAGCCUUUGCAAGCGACAACCGGAUACGCCCGUUAUUGCGUUACCGUAUCGCGCUUUGGCGCCGUACGCAUAAGUGUUUAUUGGUAACAAUAAACAAAAUUCGGGUGGUACCACGCAAAAGCGUCCCGUGA
rnacentral:ncRNA from 1 species